rnacentral:snRNA from 1 species
CGGAACGGAGCAAUCCGGUC